UGGGGAAUAUUGCACAAUGGGGGAAACCCUGAUGCAGCGACGCCGCGUGAACGAAGAAGGUAUUCGUAUCGUAAAGUUCUGUCCUAUGGGAAGAUAAUGACAGUACCAUAGAAGAAAGCUCCGGCUAAAUACGUGCCAGCAGCCGCGGUAAUACGUAUGGAGCGAGCGUUGUCCGGCAUUAUUGGGCGUAAAGGGUACGCAGGCGGUUUAAUAAGUCGAAUGUUAAAGAUCGGGGCUCAACCCCGUAAAGCAUUGGAAACUGAUAAACUUGAGUAGUGGAGAGGAAAGUGGAAUUCCUAGUGUAGUGGUGAAAUACGUAGAUAUUAGGAGGAAUACCAGUAGCGAAGGCGACUUUCUGGACACAAACUGACGCUGAGGUACGAAAGCGUGGGGAGCAAACAGG
rnacentral:rRNA from 1 species